rnacentral:rRNA from 1 species
GGUGAACGCUGGCGGCGUGCUUAAGACAUGCAAGUCGAACGGCAGUCUUCGGACUGUAGUGGCGCACGGGUGAGUAACGCGUAACUGACCUACCCCAAAGUCGCGGAUAACGAUUCGAAAGAAUCGCUAAUACGUGAUGUGCUGUCAGAUUGUGUUCUGCCAGUAAAGAUUGAUUGCUUUGGGAUGGGGUUGCGUUCCAUCAGCUAGUUGGUGGGGUAAAGGCCCACCAAGGCGACGACGGAUAGCCGGCCUGAGAGGGUGGCCGGCCACAGGGGCACUGAGACAAGGGGCCCACUCCUACGGGAGGCAGCAGUUAGGAAUCUUCCACAAUGGGCGAAAGCCUGAUGGAGCGACGCCGCGUGAGGGAUGAAGGUCUUCGGAUCGUAAACCUCUGAAUCAGGGACGAAAGACACUUCGGUGGGAUGACGGUACCUGAGUAAUAGCACCGGCUAACUCCGUGCCAGCCGCCGCCGUAAAAC